rnacentral:tRNA from 1 species
UGGAAAUAAAAUGGUAACAUAAGAGACUGUGGAUCUUUUGUCCGGGGUUCAAUUCCCCGCUA